rnacentral:lncRNA from 1 species
UCUUCAGGACAAGGGAUCGUUAAUCCACCCAUUGGAUGAUCGAACCCAAACUCUUCUUCUGAUUUACUGAGAAGAGCUUGAAACGAAGGUUGGGUCAAGUAUGAGACUGGCACCACAUAUCUCUUCUUCUGACUCUCUCCUACGUACACCGCAAGAAACCCCUUUGGUGUCGCCGAGGCUGCCAUUUUGCUUGUUGCGGCUCCAAGAAUCUUCUUUGCACCCAAUAGAUUUCUCACGAAAGCCAUUUCUGUUUUUUUUAAGGACUGAAAAUUUGAAUUCUUAUGAAACUUCUGAAAAUGUAUGAAAAGAUGUAAGUUAUUGGAUAUAUUGCUUGUUUGUUGGUUGAUGAUGGAAAGAAUAGGUAGUGUGAUAUGUAUAUAUAGAAAGAUCAAUGAACGAGUUGAAGCAUCUCUGAAAAGUCUUUGAAACUUGUAGUCUUCAAGUGUGGGUCAUACUAGAAUAGAGUUUCACAUGCUUCUGUCUUUACCAAAGUUAUAGCUAAAUGCAUUUUUUUCUUGAUGAGAUUAUUAAUUGAGUGGUGACAAUAAACUCCAUAUGCACGUCACAAGGGACUGUUUUUCUCAAUGUUUAUUGAGAUAAGACAUGCUAUUCUCUAUAAUAAAGACCAGCAAGUUUCUGUUCUUCAUGUUCUGUGGUGAUCAUAUUCUCUCAUCUCUGUGGUCUUAGGGGAUUUAAUUUAAUGAGAACGUAAAGUGGGGACCUGCGGUUUCUCAACAACAGAACAGCAAGUCUCUGUCACAGGUGAAGUUGUUCUUUGAUUAUAUCCUCAACUAGGAUCACACAUGACAGCUUUCCUAGAAGACAGAACCAUGUGAAGCUCUGUUUGUGUAUGUCCCAUGCUUCCAAUGGUUGCAGGGUUGUUUUCAGUCCUUCAUCAUAUUUAUACAUCCAGAGACAGAACCAACUCUUCAAAUUACCAAGUAGCAAAAAGCGAUACAAACCUUGAAUCUGAGUAUCUAACCUUUCUUGAGAAGCUUCAAAAUUCAAUUUUCCGGACACAAGAAAUGUCAUCAAAGCAGAGAAUAAUUACAUGAGAACGACGUAACUCGUCUUACAGUCAAUCAACCAAUCAUCAUUUCUUGAUUAGUAUCUGAAAUAGAGUCAUGUGGAACGUUGUUUGGGAAGUCCACAAGUUUCAACUCAUAUCAUUGAUUCAAGAAGUGGAUGAUUGAUUGAUUGAUUGACUGUGUUGUCUACACAAUCAGCGUUUCACAUGAAUCUCUCUUUCAAAUAUUAAUCAAGAAGUGGAUGAUUGAUUGAUUGAUUGAUUGAUUGAUUGAUUGACUGUGAACAGCAGUCUUGUCUUCGCUGCUGAAGUCAGUUCUAAGUAAAGGAAAAAGUUGAGUAUCCAUCCAUAGGCUCUGGUAGGACUAUGAAUAAGAGAUAAAAGUGCCGGUACAUCAGUUCAUGUAACAGUUCUAAUACAGCUAUCCGGUUACUUUUCAUCUCUUUUCAUUCUGUUUAACUUUGUCAUCUCUUUCUUUGUUACAUAAAAAGACUUCAAUGGAUGAUGAACACUUCACUUAUUUUAUUCAACUAGUAAGAUAUAAUUUAAAUAGAAGAAUGGUCGUUGUCCUUUGUUUUUCAAUGAUUGAUCAAAAGUGCAUUAGUUUAACAUGAAAAUGGUAUUUACUUUCAAAACUUUAGAAGAAAGUAAAGGAGAAAAGCUCCUAUAAUUUACAAAGAAUAAGUCUAUUGCUAACUCAUGAAGAAGAAAAGAUCUGGAUAAUCAUCAUCAUUGGAGCCUAGACGUUACGUUUAUGAAUAUAUCUUCAGGACAAGGGAUGGUUAAGCCACCCAUCGGAUGAUCAAACCCAAACUCUUCCUCGGAUUUACUGAGUAGCGCUUGAAAAGAAGGCUGGCUCAAGUAUGAGAUUGGCACCACAUAGAAAGACCAGUGAAUAUAAUGUGUUGAAAAGUCUUUGAAACUUGUGGUCUUUGAAGCGUGGGACAGAGUAGAACAGAGAGUAUCACAUGGUUCUGUCUUUAGCAUCUUGAAAAGAAGCAUCAUUGCAAUUUGUUGCCCACUUGGAUAGUACUCUCCUAGUCCCUAUGCAGUUCACAAGGGAUUGUCUUCUCAAUGUUUCUGAGAUAAGACGUCUCCACUUGCACCGUUUCUGUGAAUCUGUGAUGAUUUAGUGGUUGGCUCUCUUGCUUAUCCUCUAAACUCUAUGGUUGAAAUAAAUUUAAUAAUAACUUAAAGUAGGGACCUGUUGUUCCUGAACAACAGAACAGAAAACACAUGUUUUUGUCACUGGUUAAGUUAAUUCGGUAAUUUACACAUGACAAUUCUAAGUAAAACUAUUUCGGCCUUUGAGGUUUGCUAGAUAAAGAGAAAACAGAGCACAGAAGAUACAUUUGAUCAAAUGACUGAUAUUGUUACUUGAGUUGUAAGACUGAUAAAUAGUAAGACAUAAAUAUUGAAAGCUGAGAAUGCAUUCACUCCCUUGGAGAUGUAGUCUGGUUCUUCUAACUUUAGCUUUUAGAAUUUUGAUAAGAAAGAUAAUGGAGAAGCUGUUGUUACAAGAAACUGCCGGUUUUGUAAACUAUCGUAUUUGUUGGCACCAGUUUAACGGUAAAAGAGAGAAACUGAGAAAAUCUCGAAAAGGGUAAAAAGGACUUUCUAGCAGAUAAAUUGGUUAAGUUGAGCUACGGAUCCAUAUGAAAAUGCUCAUUUAAUUUGUUAAUGGCAACCAAAGUACAAAAUAUAUAGUUCUUUACUUGCUGUUGUCAUUUCUAUUUCAAUAAUCAAAUCUAAAGUGUAUUAAUUUAACACGAAUCAUGAUUGUGCCUAUAACUGAAAAAUGGUAUUUACUUUCAAAAAAUUUAGAACAACUUUUUCAAGAUGAAAGAGAAAAACGUUUCUCCUCUAUUUACAAAGAACAUGUCUAUCUCUAUCUCGAAGAACAAUAUGUUGGAUAAUCAUCGUUGAAGCCGGGAAGUCACAUUGAUGAAGAUAUCUUCAGGACAAGGGAUCGUUAAACCACCCAUUGGAUGAUCAAACCCAAACUCUUCUUCGGAUUUGCUGAGAAGAGCUUGAAAUGAAGGCUGGCUCAAGUAUGAGACUGGCACCACAUAUCUCUUCUUCUGACCCUCUCCUACGUACACAGCAAGAAACCCCUUUGGUGCCGCCGAGGUUGCACUUUUGCUUGUUGCUACUGAGAGGGAGCGGCCAAGAAUCUUCUUUGCACC